AGGAAGACUUCUAAAAGAAAGUAUGACCGAUACACAUGUUUAGUUUAAUUGAUUAUUACAUGCCUUUAAAAAUUAGCAUCUGAUUUUAUGAACAUUUUUUUGGGAGAACUGAUAGCACGUGGAUGGACGCAUGUUUCUCAAUGAUUUCAUCUAUUUUCCUCAUCACCGUCUCACUUGCCCAUGCUCGAAUACAGAUAUUUGCAAAUCCAAUGUAUGAAUAUUUGGAUACCAAACAUGGAAUUAAAGGCAAGUGAUGGGUUUGCAUCAGGUUAUAACUCUCUGUAUGGAGCAUUGUCAUUCUGCAGAAUUGCCGGAUGAAAGUGAUUGGUACAAAACUUCCGUUUUAUCGGGAGGAAUUGAAUGUUAGUC